CCAAAAUUCUUGGCACUGUCCAAAUGGGUUCAAUAUCAGAAAUAGAUACAGUUUUUAUAAUUGAAAAUAACCCUAGAGGUAGCUCAGUGGCUGAGGGGAUGGAGAGCCAGGCUUAGAGACACAAGGACCUGGGUUCAAAUCUGGUCUUAGACAUUUCCAAGAUGUAUGACCCUGGGCAAGUCACUUAACUCCAGUUGACCAGCCCAUAUUCUUUUCUGUUUUGGAACUAAUACUUAGUAUCAAUUCUAAGACAGAAGGUAAGGGUUUCUCUCUCUCUCUCUCUCUCUCUCUCUCUCUCUCUCUCUCUCUCUCUCUCUCUCUCUCUCUCUCAAUGGAAAUAACCCUAAAGAAGAUGUAUUGUUAGCCGUCUUGCCUCUGAAGUCUGAGGACUCUAGGUGUUUCCAUCUACCCUGCAACAGAACCAUUCUAUGUGAGUUGAGUUCUCUUAUUCUAAUGUGAACAAUUUAAGAACUGGGACUUCCUUUCUAUUUUUAUUUUUAUGCCCAGCACCUAACACAGCGCUUUAUAGAUGAUAAAUACUUAAUGCUUUCUCAUACAUUUGUGAUAGAGUAUCUAGAAGUAACAUUUUUCAAUUUUUCUAGUUUUGAAUUUAGUCUAGGAGAACACUGGCCAGGGAUAAGCCUGCAAUAUAUUGGACUUCUCUGAUUGGAAUGAAUCUGGCUCAUCUUGUCUGGGUAUUCUUCAAAUGGGACAUAAAGAUAUACACUGUAAGAGAGGAAACUUGGACUCAGUCUGCCAGAGGAACAAGACAAGCAGGGGAAGGGCAAGAGGAAGAGAGAAUUCCAGAGAAAGAACAGAGAAGAGCUGAGAAGAUCCAAGCUGUCAGCUUCACUUCUCUUUGGGGAGCCCUUCAGAAAGGUUGCUCUGAAAGCAUCUCUGAGCUCUUGUCAUCCUUUUAGGAAUCUAGACGCCCUGAAUCCAGCGGAAGACAACAGGAGUGCAUAGGAUUUUGGAUAUAAAACUAUCCCGCCCAGGAAGAUUUCCUCUCCAUUCCUCCAAAACAGUUCUUGAACUUCAUAUUAUAACUAGGACAGGUAGAAGUCAAGACAGUUCUCACAAUUGACCCCAGAGGGUCAGGCUGACCCUGCAGGAUUUGGGGAGAAGGGGCUCAAUUGUUAGGUUUUAGGGACUUCCUGUUUCCCAUUUUCCCAAUACAGUCUCACUUACCUUACCCUUUGUGUGUUCCUCAAAUAAAUAGCUGUUUCUGUAGACUUAGUGCCUGUUC
rnacentral:lncRNA from 1 species